UCGUGUCGUGAGAUGUUGGGUUAAGUCCCGCAACGAGCGCAACCCUCACCCCUUGUUGCCAUCAGGUGAUGCUGGGCACUCUAGGGGAACUGCCCCGGUCAACGGGGAGGAAGGUGGGGAUGACGUCGAGUCAUCAUGCCCCUUACGUCCUGGGCUACACACGUGCUACAAUGGCCGGUACAAAGGGAUGCCACACCGCGAGGUAGAGCUAAACCCAGAAAGCCGGUCUAAGUUCAGAUUGGAGUCUGCAACUCGACUCCAUGAAGGAGGAAUCGCUAGUAAUCGC
rnacentral:rRNA from 1 species